ACAUUGGGAGUGGGAGGCGGUGAGCGCGUGGUAGUUGCCGUCUGAAGCCCAGGGUGGUAACGGUGUGCACGCCCUUCCUCCCGCAGGCCCGUGCGCUGACCCCGCAGACGGCAGAGACGGAUGCCAUCCGGUUUCUGGUUGGGACGCAGUCUCUGAAAUACGACAAUCAGAUCCACAUCAUAGAUUUUGACGACGAAAACAACAUCAUAAACAAAAAUGUCCUCCUCCACCAAGUGGGUGAAAUCUGGCACAUUAGUGCCAGCCCCGCGGACAAAGGCGUGCUGGCUACCUGCUACAACAAGAUGGAAGAGUGAAAACAUCAUUUGCACAUUGGAUAUCAUCAAAGAAUCAUGAAGGUUAAUAUUUGUUCAGGGUCUGCAAUGUUCAGCCUGGCCUCAUGGCUCAGUGGUUGAGCAUCGACUUAUGAACCAGGAGGUCACUGGUUUGAUUCCUGGUCAGGGCACAUGUCCAGGUUGUGGGCUUGAUCCCCAGUGUGGGGCGGGCAGGUUGCCAGGAUUGAACUUAAGACCUUUGCCCGUUAGUGGUGCCCGGGAUGGUGCCCUGGGGUGGCCGCAGUCCCAGGGCGCAGACAGGCUCAGGAGCUGGGCUGAGAGCUGCAUCCUGACUGGGUCACCCACCAAUUAGGAUGCUGGCUGCGGGCCUGUGUAACAUCCAAUCGUACGCUCGCUCCCCAAGACAGUCUGGAGCUGGCAGGGUGGUUCGUAUGUAAGAACUUCGGUUUUGCUGUUUAAGAAGGAUGUAAAAGGUACCAGGAUGUAAAAGGAUGGGAGGAGAGGGUUCGAGGAGGUACCAGGUGCAGCGCCUCUCCCCUCUCCUCCGGGGUCACCCCACACAUUGUGAAUGCCACCGGCCUAAUGGGCCUGCAUGCUGGUCACUCUGAAAGCGAUCGUCUUAGCAGGGGAGCAUUUAGAUAAAAGGGCUUUUAAAGGUAUGACAUACCUUAUUUUCUAUCAUAUAACUUUGACCUACAGCGUAAUGCAUUAGCAUAGCCCUGUCUCCUAGGUCCUUUUGGAAGUAGGUGGGUUAUAAAUUAUAAACACUGUGCCCAGCAGAAUCUGAUGCGGAGAAGGCACUCGGGUGUGUAAUGAACUGUGUACUAUUCAUGUAAGACGGCGCCCCAUUUUGCAUCCGCGUGAAUCCUAAUUACAAAUAAAUUGAAUUCUUGACCUCCAAAUA